GAACGAUGAACACCUUCGGGUGGGGAUUAGUGGCGAACGGGUGAGUAACACGUGGGCAAUCUGCCCUGCACUCUGGGACAAGCCCUGGAAACGGGGUCUAAUACCGGAUACUGAACCACUUGGGCAUCCUGGUGGUUCGAAAGCUCCGGCGGUGCAGGAUGAGCCCGCGGCCUAUCAGCUUGUUGGUGAGGUAACGGCUCACCAAGGCGACGACGGGUAGCCGGCCUGAGAGGGCGACCGGCCACACUGGGACUGAGACACGGCCCAGACUCCUACGGGAGGCAGCAGUGGGGAAUAUUGCACAAUGGGCGAAAGCCUGAUGCAGCGACGCCGCGUGAGGGAUGACGGCCUUCGGGUUGUAAACCUCUUUCAGCAGGGAAGAAGCGAGAGUGACGGUACCUGCAGAAGAAGCGCCGGCUAACUACGUGCCAGCAGCCGCGGUAAUACGUAGGGCGCGAGCGUUGUCCGGAAUUAUUGGGCGUAAAGAGCUCGUAGGCGGCUUGUCGCGUCGGUUGUGAAAGCCCGGGGCUUAACCCCGGGUCUGCAGUCGAUACGGGCAGGCUAGAGUUCGGUAGGGGAGAUCGGAAUUCCUGGUGUAGCGGUGAAAUGCGCAGAUAUCAGGAGGAACACCGGUGGCGAAGGCGGAUCUCUGGGCCGAUACUGACGCUGAGGAGCGAAAGCGUGGGGAGCAAACA
rnacentral:rRNA from 1 species